GAGUUUGAUCUGGCUCAGGACGAACGCUGGCGGCUCAUAAUACAUGCAAGUCGAGCGGACAGAAGGGAGCUUGCUCCCGGAUGUUAGCGGCGGACGGGUGAGUAACACGUGGGUAACCUGCCUGUAAGACUGGGAUAACUCCGGGAAACCGGAGCUAAUACCGGAUAGUUCCUUGAACCGCAUGGUUCAAGGAUGAAAGACGGUUUCGGCUGUCACUUACAGAUGGACCCGCGGCGCAUUAGCUAGUUGGUGGGGUAAUGGCUCACCAAGGCGACGAUGCGUAGCCGACCUGAGAGGGUGAUCGGCCACACUGGGACUGAGACACGGCCCAGACUCCUACGGGAGGCAGCAGUAGGGAAUCUUCCGCAAUGGACGAAAGUCUGACGGAGCACGCCGCGUGAGUGAUGAAGGUUUUCGGAUCGUAAAGCUCUGUUGUUAGGGAAGAACAAGUGCGAGAGUAACUGCUCGCACCUUGACGGUACCUAACCAGAAAGCCACGGCUAACUACGUGCCAGCAGCCGCGGUAAUACGUAGGUGGCAAGCGUUGUCCGGAAUUAUUGGGCGUAAAGGGCUCGCAGGCGGUUUCUUAAGUCUGAUGUGAAAGCCCCCGGCUCAACCGGGGAGGGUCAUUGGAAACUGGGAAACUUGAGUGCAGAAGAGGAGAGUGGAAUUCCACGUGUAGCGGUGAAAUGCGUAGAGAUGUGGAGGAACACCAGUGGCGAAGGCGACUCUCUGGUCUGUAACUGACGCUGAGGAGCGAAAGCGUGGGGAGCGAACAGGACUAGAUACCCUGGUAGUCCACGCCGUAAACGAUGAGUGCUAACUGUUAGGGGUUUCCGCCCCUUAGUGCUGCAGCUAACGCAUUAAGCACUCCGCCUGGGGAGUACGGUCGCAAGACUGAAACUCAAAGGAAUUGACGGGGGC
rnacentral:rRNA from 1 species